rnacentral:rRNA from 1 species
ACGCUCGACACCUACGGGAGGCUGCAGUUGGGAAUAUUGGACAAUGGAGGGAACUCUGAUCCAGUGACGCCGCGUGAAGGAAGAAGGUCUUCGGAUUGUAAACUUAUUUUAUCAGGGAAGAAAGAAAUGACAGUACCUGAAGAAGAAGGACCGGCUAACUACGUGCCUGCAGCCGCGGUAAUCUGAGCGGGCUGGCAAGGC